UCGGGCCUCACUAUUACCUCCCCUUGCUACUCUUCCUAUGUUUACUUCUACAGCGACAGAAAACGGGAAAUAUUCAAGUCGAAAUUGCUGCGGGUUGGAAGCGUGUGUGAAUGUUUGAAGGCUUCAUUUCCAUGCCAAUCGUUUUUUAUUUAUUUACAAGAAAGGUGAUAAAAACCACUCAUAACUUUCACAGGAUGUAGGCACAUAAAAAACAAGGAGUGUGAAAAAUGCACUAGGUGACCAUAUGACAUUAACUGAGCAGUGCACUGUGGGAAGCCCACUUGGAACUAUGGAAGAAGGUACAAGACCGGAUGGGAAGCGAACAGUUUCCCCGGGGCUCGACCCAGAGGAACCUGGGAAUCUGUUAUCACUGGAUGGAGUCUACCCCUGCAAAAUGAAGACAUAGAUGAAGAAAACAGACUUAAUUUUCCAUUCACGAUGAAAACAUUUUACACAGACUAAUAGUGAUCAGCAUGUAGAACAUUCCACUCUUGUAACAGACUUCACAAAUACAAGAUGUUCAUCUAUAUAGUCCUUAACCAUCAAUUAUU